rnacentral:rRNA from 1 species
AUACAGAGGUGGCAAGCGUUGUUCGGAUUUAUUGGGCGUAAAGGGUCCGUAGGCGGUUUGGAUAGUCGGAUGUGAAAUCCUACAGCUUAACUGUGGAACUGCAUUCGAAACUUCCAGACUAGAGUGUGAGAGGGGCAAAGGGAAUUCCCGGUGUAAGGGUGAAAUCUGCAGAGAUCGGGAGGAACACCAGUCGCGAAGGCGCUUUGCUGGCUCACUACUGACGCUCAGGGACGAAAGCUAGGGUAGCCAACGGGAUUAGAAACCCCGGUAGUCC